UACAGAGGGGGCGAGCGUUAUUCGGAAUUAUUGGGCGUAAAGGGCGCGUAGGCGGCUUUGCAAGUGACGGGUGAAAGCCCUCGGCUUAACCGAGGAACUGCCUGUCAGACUGUGAGGCUUGAGACCGGGAGAGGUGAGUGGAGUUCCCAGUGUAGCGGUGAAAUGCGUAGAUAUUGGGAGGAACACCAGUGGCGAAGGCGGCUCACUGGACCGGAACUGACGCUGAGGCGCGAAAGCGUGGGGAGCAAACAGG
rnacentral:rRNA from 1 species